rnacentral:rRNA from 1 species
GACGAACGCUGGCGGCGUGCCUAAUACAUGCAAGUAGAACGCUGAAGGAGGAGCUUGCUUCUCUGGAUGAGUUGCGAACGGGUGAGUAACGCGUAGGUAACCUGCCUGGUAGCGGGGGAUAACUAUUGGAAACGAUAGCUAAUACCGCAUAAUAGCAGUUAUUGCAUGAUAACUGUUUGAAAGGUGCAAUUGCACCACUACCAGAUGGACCUGCGUUGUAUUAGCUAGUUGGUGGGGUAACGGCUCACCAAGGCGACGAUACAUAGCCGACCUGAGAGGGUGAUCGGCCACACUGGGACUGAGACACGGCCCAGACUCCUACGGGAGGCAGCAGUAGGGAAUCCUCGGCAAUGGACGGAAGUCUGACCGAGCAACGCCGCGUGAGUGAAGAAGGUUUUCGGAUCGUAAAGCUCUGUUGUAAGAGAAGAACGAGUGUGAGAGUGGAAAGUUCACACUGUGACGGUAUCUUACCAGAAAGGGACGGCUAACUACGUG